UACGUAGGGGGCAAGCGUUGUCCGGAUUUAUUGGGCGUAAAGAGCGUGUAGGCGGCCGUACAGGUCAGCUGUGAAAACUCGAGGCUCAACCUCGAGACGUCGGUUGAAACCGUACGGCUAGAGUCCGGAAGAGGAGAGUGGAAUUCCCGGUGUAGCGGUGAAAUGCGCAGAUAUCGGGAAGAACACCCGUGGCGAAGGCGGCAUCCUGGACCGGUAUUGACGCUGAGGCGCGAAAGCCAGGGGAGCAAACGGG
rnacentral:rRNA from 1 species